UUUAUAAUCUCCAAUAAAAUGUUGAACGGAGAAAAUAGGAGAAUAGAAGAAAAAACAGGAGCUUCUCCCUCUGAACUGUACUGAUGGAGGAAGGCCACUUUGCCUGGAGCAAGGGAAUCUGGCUUCUGGGCUGGAUUUUAGGUCACACACAGAGAGAGAGAGGCAG